UACGUAGGGUGCAAGCGUUGUCCGGAAUUAUUGGGCGUAAAGAGCUCGUAGGCGGUCUGUCACGUCGGAUGUGAAAAUCCAGGGCUUAACCCUGGACCUGCAUUCGAUACGGGCAGACUAGAGUUCGGUAGGGGAGACUGGAAUUCCUGGUGUAGCGGUGAAAUGCGCAGAUAUCAGGAGGAACACCGGUGGCGAAGGCGGCAUCCUGGACCGACACUGACGCUGAGGAGCGAAAGCCAGGGGAGCAAACGGG
rnacentral:rRNA from 1 species